AUAUAAUUAGCAAGAUGACAACCUGAUGAACUGAAACAUCUUAGUAAUCAGAGGAAAAAAAAGCAAAAGCGAUUCCCUUAGUAGUGGCGAGCGAAAAGGGAACAGCCUAAACCGCCUUUUAAGGCGGGGUUGUGGGAGAAUAAUAUAAAAAAAGAAUAAUUAGGCGAAGCAGCUGAAUCCUGCACCUUAGAUGGUGAUAGUCCAGUAGCCAACAAUUGUUCCGCUUUUUCAUUCUAACCCGAGUAGCAUGAGGCACGUGAAACCUUAUGUGAAUCAACGAGGACCACCUCGUAAGGCUAAAUACUCCUGAGUAACCGAUAGCGAAGCAGUACCGUGAGGGAAAGGUGAAAAGAACCCCCAUCGGGGAGUGAAAUAGAUCAUGAAAUUGUAAGCCUACAAGCAGUGGGAGAAAAAUAGAAUUUUUGACCGCGUGCCUGUUGAAGAAUGAGCCGGCGACUUAUAGGCAGUGGCAGGGUUAAGGAUAUACCGAAGCCAUAGCGAAAGCAAGUCACAUCAGGGCACAUGUCACUGCUUAUGGACCCGAACCCGGGUGAUCUAUCCAUGGCCAGGGUGAAGCUUGGGUGAAGCCAAGUGGAGGCCCGAACCGACUGGUGUUGAAAAACCAGCGGAUGAGUUGUGGUUAGGGGUGAAAUGCCAAUCGAACCCGGAGCUAGCUGGUUCUCCCCGAAAUGCGUUGAGGCGCAGCGGUUGAAUGGACUAUCUAGGGGUAAAGCACUGUUUCGGUGCGGGCUGCGAAAGCGGUACCAAAUCGAGACAAACUCUGAAUACUAGAUACGACUAGCAGUCAGCCAGUAAGACGGUGGGGGAUAAGCUCCAUCGUCAAGAGGGAAACAGCCCAGAUCACCAGCUAAGGCCCCUAAAUGAUUUCUCAGUGGUAAAGGAGGUGAGAGUGCAAAAACAGCCAGGAGGUUUGCCUAGAAGCAGCCACCCUUCAAAGAGUGCGUAAUAGCUCACUGAUCGAGCGCUCUUGCGCCGAAAAUGAACGGGACUAAGAGAUCUGCCGAAGCUGUGGGAUGUGUAAAAACAUCGGUAGGGGAGCGUUCUGCAUUAGAUUGAAGCAUCAGUGUAAUCAGGUGUGGACGAAGCAGAAGUGAGAAUGUCGGCUUGAGUAACGCAAACAAUGGUGAGAAUCCAUUGCCCCGAAAACCCAAGGGUUCCUACGCAAGGCUCGUCCACGUAGGGUGAGUCAGGGCCUAAGAUAAAGCCAAACGGCGUAGUCGAUGGACAAUAGGUUAAUAUUCCUAUACUAUUUUUUUGUUGCUAAAGAGGGACAGAGGAGGUGAAAGAUAAGUAAAAGUUGGUUAUCCGUUUACGGUGAUUCUAUUUAUCUCUAUCCACACUUUCAAGAAAAGCUCAUAUAGUGUAUAUACAAAAAAAUACCUGUACCCGAAACCGACACAGGUGGGUAGGUAGAGCAUACCUAGGGGCGCGAGAUAACUCUCUCUAAGGAACUCGGCAAAAUAGCCCCGUAACUUCGGAAGAAGGGGUGCCUCCUUCGGGAGGCCGCAGUGACCAGGCCCAGGCGACUGUUUACCAAAAACACAGGUCUCCGCAAAGUCGCAAGACGCCGUAUGGGGGCUGACGCCUGCCCAGUGCCGGAAGGUUAAGGAAGUCUGUGACCCGAAAACGGGAAAGCUGGCAACCGAAGCCCCGGUGAACGGCGGCCGUAACUAUGACGGUCCUAAGGUAGCGAAAUUCCUUGUCGGGUAAGUUCCGACCCGCACGAAAGGCGUAACGAUCUGGGCACUGUCUCGGAGAGAGACUCGGUGAAAUAGACUUGUCUGUGAAGAUGCGGACUACCUGCACCUGGACAGAAAGACCCUAUGAAGCUUUACUGUUCCCUGGGAUUGGGUUUGGGCUUCUCUUGCGCAGCUUAGGUGGGAGGCAAAGAAGAUAUCUUUCCGGAGAUGUCCGAGCCGUCAAUGAGACACCACCCUAGAAAAACUAGAAUUCUAACUUUGUUCCUAUAAGAAGGUCAGAGGACAUUCUCAGGUAGACAGUUUCUAUGGGGCGUAGGCCUCCUAAAAGGUAACGGAGGCGUGCAAAGGUUUCCUCAGGCUGGACGGAAAUCAGCCUUCGAGUGUAAAGGCAAAAGGGAGCUUGACUGCAAGACCUACACGUCGAGCAGGGACGAAAGUCGGCCUUAGUGAUCCGACGGUACCGAGUGGAAGGGCCGUCGCU
rnacentral:rRNA from 1 species